rnacentral:rRNA from 1 species
AUUCGAGCUUCGUUCUCGCGCGGGGCUGAUUUCCAAGCACACGUGGUUUUCUGCCCUAUGGUGGAGGAUAACCCCGGGAUACUGGGGAUAAUACUCCAUAAGUCAGGAGUACUGGAAUGUCUCCUAACUGAAAGUUGCGGCGCCAUAGGAUGAAUCUGCGGCCGAUUAGGUAGUUGUUGGGGUAACGGCCCAACAAGCCCGUAAUCGGUACGGGUUGUGGGAGCAAGAGCCCGGAGAUGGAAUCUGAGACACGAUUCCAGGCUCCCAUGGGGUCGCAGCAGGCGCGAAAACUUUACAAUGCAGGAACUGUGAUAAGGGAACCCCGAGUGCCCGUAAACGCGGGCUGUCCCGGUGUUUAAAACACAUCGGAAGAAAGGGCCGGGCAAGACCGGUGCCAGCCGCCGCGGUAAUACCGGCGGCUCGAGUGGUGACCACUUUUAUUGGGCUUAAAGCGUUCGUAGCUUGAUUUUUAAGUCUCUUGGGAAAUCUCACGGCUUAACUGUGAGGCGUCUAAGAGAUACUGGGAAUCUAGGGACCGGGAGAGGUAAGAGGUACUUCAGGGUAGAGUGAAAUCUGUAUCCUUGGAGGACCACCGAUGCGAGCAUCUACAGACGCUUCGACAGGUGAGACGAGCUGGGGGAGCGACGAAUAGAUACCCGGUAGUCCCAGCCGUAACUAUGGCCGCGUUAGGGUUGUGCC